rnacentral:rRNA from 1 species
GCUCGUAGGCGGUCUGUCGCGUCGGCUGUGAAAACCCGGAGCUCAACUCCGGGCCUGCAGUCGAUACGGGCAAACUGGAGUACUGCAGGGGAGACUGGAAUUCCUGGUGUAGCGGUGAAAUGCGCAGAUAUCAGGAGGAACACCGGUGGCGAAGGCGGGUCUCUGGGCAGUAACUGACGCUGAGGAGCGAAAGCGUGGGGAGCGAACAGGAUUAGAUACCCUGGUAGUCCACGCCGUAAACGUUGGGCGCUAGGUGUGGGGGCCAUUCCACGGUCUCCGUGCUGCAGCUAACGCAUUAAGCGCCCCGCCUGGGGAGUACGGCCGCAAGGCUAAAACUCAAAGGAAUUGACGGGGGCCCGCACAAGCGGCGGAGCAUGUUGCUUAAUUCGAUGCAACGCGAAGAACCUUACCUAGGCUUGACAUGCACGGAAAUCUCGCAGAGAUGCGGGGUCCGUAAGGGCCGUGCACAGGUGGUGCAUGGUUGUCGUCAGCUCGUGUCGUGAGAUGUUGGGUUAAGUCCCGCAACGAGCGCAACCCUCGUUCCAUGUU